UUGGAUCCCGACGAAGUCGUAACAAGGUAGCCGUACCGGAAGGUGCGGCUGGAUCACCUCCUUUCUAAGGAGCACCACGAAAACGCCCCAACUGGUGGGGCGUAGGCCGUGAGGGGUUCUUGUCUGUAGUGGGCGAGAGCCGGGUGCAUGACAACAAAGUUGGCCACCAACACACUGUUGGGUCCUGAGGCAACACUCGGACUUGUUCCAGGUGUUGUCCCACCG
rnacentral:misc_RNA from 2 species